ACCNGUCUCCAGAUGUCCACAGCAAGCCUA
rnacentral:piRNA from 1 species